AGAUUAAGCCAUGCAUGUCUCAGUGCAAGCCGUCCAGUACGGUGAAACCGCGAAAGGCUCAUUAAAUCAGUUAUGGUUCCUUAGAUUGUACCCACGUUACUUGGAUAACUGUGGUAAUUCUAGAGCUAAUACAUGCCGACAGAGAUCCGACCAGCGCCGUGUGUUCGGCUUGCCGGCUCACGGCGUUCGGAAGGAUCGCUCUUAUUAGAUCAAAACCGGCCAAGCGGUCGUUCGCGUUUCGACGCGCUCGAUCGUAAGUGGCCCGCGCAAAGACUUGACGACUCUGAAUAAUUUCGAGCUGAUCGCAUGGUCCUUGUACCGGCGACGUAUCUUUCAAAUGUCUGCCUUAUCAACUGUCGACGGUAGGUUCGAUGCCUACCGUGGUGGUAACGGGUAACGGGGAAUCAGGGUUCGAUUCCGGAGAGGGAGCCUGAGAAACGGCUACCACAUCUAAGGAAGGCAGCAGGCGCGCAAAUUACCCACUCCCAGCUCGGGGAGGUAGUGACGAAAAAUAACGAUACGGGACUCAUCCGAGGCCCCGUAAUCGGAAUGAGUACACUUUAAAACCUUGGUCACACGAGGAUCAAU
rnacentral:rRNA from 1 species